CCUACCCGCCUCCUUCCCUGCCCACCCGCUGCCCUGGUCAGCCAGUCGGUGAGCACAAGGAGAGAGACGGACAGAGGGGAGCAGUCCAUUCCAGCCAAUCCCCAUCCGUGAGGCCAGGGAAGGGCCUAUGAGGGACUAAAAUGGGCACCUGAUUGCAUUUGACUUCAUUGCAUUGGUUUGGAAGGAGAAAACAGCCCGGCUCAUUUGGAGGAUCCCCGUAAGCUGCUGCAAAAGCUACUCUUCCUGGGAAAGGGGGGUCCACAGGAAGAUUAAUACCAACAGCUCGUAGCUUUCACCUGGAUUCACAUGGUCUAUAGUCUAUAUCAUGGAAAGAGACGGUGUUCUUAAUGUUUUGUAAACUCAGUAUACGUACAGUAUAUUUAACUAUGAUUUAAACGUUGUUCCCCGUGUCAUGACUAGCUGGGACAUCUAUAGUAUGUACACGAGUACAGAAUAGUUUUACAUGUUAUCUGGCAGAGUGGGGUUUGAUCUUGAGAAAGCAUGUUGGGUGUGUUGAUAUUUAGAUCACCCCCCCCCUAAAAAAACGACUUAGGUAAAAGUACUUGAAAGUACUACUUAAGUACUUUACACUACUGGCUUUACACUAGGUAUGUACUGUAUACUCUGUCCGUCUGUAAGACGGGUACGGCCCCAAAUACUUAUUUUACACACUUUGGUCCUUUUCUCUUGAUUUGUUGAUAUUGGUGUUGAUUCUACUGUCUAUUGAUCCUCUCUUUCUGAUGUGAAUACUCUCUGUGUUUUCUUUCUGGGGACUGUAUGUGGUCCCUCCCUCCCUGUCUGGCACCCUAUUGCCUGUUCAGUGCACUGCAAGGACCUUUUGGUCAAAACGUAGUGCACUAAUUAGGGAAUAGAGGACCAUUUCAAACGUAGUCUCUGAGUUGUAAGACUGGGUUUUGUGUUUCUCUCC